rnacentral:rRNA from 1 species
AUUGAACGCUGGCGGCGUGCCUAACACAUGCAAGUCGAGCGGAGCGACGGACGGGUGGGUGAUGCCUAGGAAUCUGCCUGGUAGUGGUGGAUAACGUACGGAAACGGGCCCUAAUACCACAUACUAUCAGAUGAGGCUGGGUGGGAUUAGCUAGUUGGUGGGGUAAGGGCCUACCAAGGCGACGAUCCGUAACUGGUCUGAGAGGAUGAUCAGUCACACUGGAACUGAGACACGGUCCAGACUCCUACGGGAGGCAGCAGUGGGGAAUAUUGGACAAUGGGCGAAAGCCUGAUCCAGCCAUGCCGCGUGUGUGAAGAAGGUCUUCGGAUUGUAAAGCACUGUAAGUUGGGAGGCGUUACCAACAGAAUAAGCACCGGCUAACUACGUGCCAGCCGCCGCGGUAAUAC